AGCGAACGCUGGCGGCAGGCCUAACACAUGCAAGUCGAACGAACCUUUCGGGGUUAGUGGCGGACGGGUGUGUAACACGUCGGAACGUGCCUUUAGGUUCGGAAUAACUCAGGGACACUUGUGCUAAUACCGAAUGUGCCCUUCGGGGGAAAGAUUAAUCGCCUUUAGAGCGGCCCGCGUCUGCUUAGCUAGUUGUUUGAGGUAAUGGCUCACCAAGGCGACGAUCAGUAGCUGGUCUGAGAGGAUGAUCCGCGACAUUGGGACGGAGACACGGCCCAAACUCCUACGGGAGGCAGCAGUGGGGGAUGUUGUGCAAUGGGCGAAAGCCUGACGGAGCCAUGACGCGUGAAUGAUGAAGGUAUGAGGAUAGAAAAAUUCUUGCACCGGGGAAGAUAAUGACGGUACCCGGAGAAAAAGCCCCGGCUAACUACGUG
rnacentral:rRNA from 1 species